UACGAAGGGGGCGAGCGUUUGUUCGGAAUUACUGGGCGUAAAGCGCACGUAGGCGGCUUUCUAAGUCGGGGGUGAAAUCCUGGAGCUCAACUCCAGAACUGCCUUUGAUACUGAGGAUCUUGAGUUCGGGAGAGGUGAGUGGAACUGCGAGUGUAGAGGUGAAAUUCGUAGAUACUCGCAAGAACACCAGUGGCGAAGGCGGCUCACUGGCCCGAUACUGACGCUGAGGCACGAAAGCGUGGGGAGCAAACAGG
rnacentral:rRNA from 1 species